ACGACCUUAGUUUAGCGUGUAAGGAUCAUAGUUUGUCGUACUAUGGGUGGGUUUGUCCCAGGUCGUG